UUCCUCGGAGGAUAGAGGAAGUCGCCGCAAGGCGGCUGGCCGUGAAAUUCACG
rnacentral:ncRNA from 1 species